rnacentral:rRNA from 1 species
AUUGAACGCUGGCGGCAGGCCUAACACAUGCAAGUCGAGCGGAUGAAGAGAGCUUGCUCUCUGAUUCAGCGGCGGACGGGUGAGUAAUGCCUAGGAAUCUGCCUGGUAGUGGGGGACAACGUUUCGAAAGGAACGCUAAUACCGCAUACGUCCUACGGGAGAAAGCAGGGGACCUUCGGGCCUUGCGCUAUCAGAUGAGCCUAGGUCGGAUUAGCUAGUUGGUGAGGUAAUGGCACCAAGGCGACGAUCCGUAACUGGUCUGAGAGGAUGAUCAGUCACACUGGAACUGAGACACGGUCCAGACUCCUACGGGAGGAAGCAGUGGGGAAUAUUGGACAAUGGGCGAAAGCCUGAUCCAGCCAUGCCGCGUGUGUGAAGAAGGUCUUCGGAUUGUAAAGCACUUUAAGUUGGGAGGAAGGGCAGUAAGUUAAUACCUUGCUGUUUUGACGUUACCGACAGAAUAAGCACCGGCUAACUCUGUGCCAGCCGCCGCCGUAACAC